rnacentral:rRNA from 1 species
UACGUAGGGGGCAAGCGUUGUCCGGAUUUAUUGGGCGUAAAGAGCGUGUAGGCGGCCAGACAGGUCCGUUGUGAAAACUCGAGGCUCAACCUCGAGAUGUCGAUGGAAACCGUCUGGCUAGAGUCCGGAAGAGGAGUGUGGAAUUCCUGGUGUAGCGGUGAAAUGCGCAGAUAUCGGGAGGAACACCAAUUGCGAAGGCAGCUCGCUGGGACGUUACUGACGCUGAGACGCGAAAGCGUGGGGAGCAAACAGG